UCCUCGAAGAGAUUCAAUCCGACACACCAGAAACUCAGGCUUGUUAAGGGGAUGAUGGGGCGGGAGAAAUCGGGAUUAGAAAGCAUUUUUUUCUCCUCUUCAUGAUCUACAAUAUCAAAAGAAGAAAGAGAAGGCUCUCGAUGAUAAAUCUGUGCAUUUAUAACAGUGCCACUGAUGCUGAAGGGAGUUCAUUAACCUUAGUGAACUGGAUCAGGCCCUGAGUUUGAGAAGGAAGAAGAAUAUCU
rnacentral:lncRNA from 1 species